UACGGGGGGGUGCAAGCGUUAAUCGGAAUUACUGGGCGUAAAGCGCACGCAGGUGGCUGAGUCAGUCGAUUGUGAAAGCCCUGGGCUUAACCUGGGAAUUGCAGUCGGUACUACUCAGCUAGAGUAUGGGAGAGGGCAGUGGAAUUCCCGGUGUAGCGGUGAAAUGCGUAGAUAUCGAGAGGAACACCUGCGGCGAAGGCGGGUUGCUGGGCUGAUACUGACACUGAAGGACGAAAGCGUGGGGAGCGAAUGGG
rnacentral:rRNA from 1 species